CUGGCCGAUAUUGCGCUAUUUUAAUUUUUCUAAAAUUUUCGGUUGUGUUCGGCUUCUACACGUGGUUAAGAUAAAACUAUCUUUUGGUGGAACCUAUCUGUAAAAUAAAGUGGAUUGUAACAAAUGUGUAUUUUACUGAAAUGUUGUGGUCUGAACUAAGCGCUUUGGUGGAAAUCUGCAAACUUUUCAUAGUCGCUUCUCAAAGAAGUAACGCAGUGAUUUACAUCCACUGCUAACACUUUUGACACAAAGUGAUAAAAAGUACAUAAAGUGGCGAAACUCACACGCAGUCGCUCGAAUGCAAUCUCUACUACUAAACAGUGACCAGCGAAUAGUUGAUGAAUGCGAAUGUAAUAAAGCAUAAAAAGCGGAGUGGAAACGGAAGUGUUAGCUACGGGUGGCAGCACCGGCGAUACAUACCCGCUUAUGCAGGUGUUCACUAUCGUAUGCGUGGGUGUAUGUGGGUGUGUAGCUGAGAGUGUCUCGCAUAAGCAAUGACAAUGCACUUCGGAUUAACGUCGUCGUCCACCCCGACGGAAACGUCAGCGGAAACAGACACGCUUGUGGACACUAAAGUGCGAUACUCGUUUUAAGUGACAGAAAAAAGUAAACCGCAAUAGCUGCCGGCUGUUGGUUGUCAGCAGUGAAAUGCAAUGAAAUUUUAUUUUGCUAAUGGAUGGCGUGAUUUCGCCUUUCAACGUUAAAUGGGUACAUUUCCUUCGCACUCUUUCCUUUUUCGGUUAUAGAGGCACUUUUUUUCUGUUUGUUAAAUGUUUUGAGAAUUUUGGAGUACGAGGAUCCUUUGUUUUAGGUUCUUAGGUUAGGCUCCAGUGUAGCGCCCGAUUUUGAAAGUAUUUGUUUACAACAACAAAGUCGUACCUUUCACUUGCAUACUCUUAGAGCUAAAGCUCUUGGAAAUAUUCUGAUAAUUAA
rnacentral:lncRNA from 1 species